GGAAGCAGGGCCUACUGGGCUGCUUGUCGCUCCCGCUCCUCUCUGGUCUAGGGGGCGGGGCGUCGCUGGAGACAUUCUAGUUUCUCCUCUUGUUGGCGGUUCUUUUCCCAGCGUCCCGCGCGCGGCGGCAGCGGCAGUUCCAUUCCGUGACCUUCGCCAACGGCCCGUGUGUCACUGUCUCCAAGGUAAAAAAGCAGUGGCAAACAAAUCUUCUGUUUCUGGCCAUCAUUAAAUGGCUCUUCAUUGAGUAUGCAUUCCAUGACUUGUCAUCUCUGCUGUAAAUGAAGCAAGCUACCAUCAUAGGGAAGUUAAUUGGACCGCAUAAGCAUUGUACAAUUCUACAACUGUAUAUAAUCCACUGUACUACAUAGGAGGAAUAAAUGUGUUGAGCAAGAAGUAUUCUGGAGUGUAUUUUAAUACUCUAACUUAAAUUUAAGAACAUUGUCAACAUCUUUUUGCUCUGUACAGUUUCAUAAGAACUUUCAUGUUACCACAAACUGCAUCAAAGAAGCACAUUGAAGUAAAUAAUAUGUUGCUAAACUAAAUAUAUCAUAGUAGAACAGGUCGGAACUUAAGAACAAACAUCUUGGUUGAAUUUUUGACUUUUAAAAAAAAAUGUUGUCAUAAUAUCUUAAUGUAUUCAACAUUUUCCAUGUGUGAAUUUUUAUUGCUACUAUGCAACCUCUGAUUGAUCAGCUUAGUUGUAUGGUAGGAUAUUUUUCAAAGUUAGGAUGCAACUUUAAAAAAAAAAAGUUAUUUUUGAUAAUCUGCAGAAAAAUUAGACAGCAAAAACAGUACUGUUACAAAAAUAAUGUCGCAGAAAAUGCCUCUGAAAUGUCUGUAUAAUUUACACUUUUUUUUGCCUCUAUUCAAAAGAUAACUCAGAAGUUAACUCGUAGCAUCACAGGUCUGUUCAGAAUAGAGAACAUUUAAUAGAACUGGUGGAUUAUCGCAGUUUAGACAUUUAUCCCCUUUGUUAUAGGAGCAAUUGCAAGAUGCUACACUGAACAGGCUUAUAAAAUUAAUAUAGUUUCCGUUAGAGAAUAGUACUUAAUGUUAUAUCAAAUAAGAAAAUCAUCUUUUUCAAGGUAUGCCCUGCAUUAUUCUCAGUUGUGGGCUUUAUAGGAGUUGGAAAUUUCUAGAAAAGUGGUGCCCAGUAGGUGCCACAGGGGUUUCAUCUCGCAGCACUGAGCAUUUGGAACACAUUAGAUAAGGGAGGUAUAGCCCCUGACUGCCUGUUCUUUUUGCUGAACCUCAGAGUCUGAAAGGGUGACUUUCAAAGGAACAGAGAACAACUAGGUGCCUGUCUCCCAUUGGUAAUUAAUGCAAACUGAGCACCCAACUGCCACUUAUGCCUCUGAAAUUCAGCUCUGGUUUACAUCAGAAUUCUGAGGAAAAUGAGAAGGUGAGCUAUUAGUGUCAAAUUUAUGCAUUGCUCAGCUUUGUAUUCAUUGUAUCUGUAAACAAGGUGAUAUUUUAUUUGUAUGCAAACUUGAAUAUCUACAGGCAUUGUAGAUGCAAUAUGCAUUUAACUGACUUCUAACAUUUUCCCCUCUUCCAGCAAACUUAUGUUUGUUAAAGGUAGCCAUGUGUUAUACAUAUUACGUGGGAUGGAACACUAGUAGCAUUUGAGGGCAAUCCACUAUAUUGGUGAUUGACUUACUCAAAGUAAAAAGUAAUAUAUUUCAUUUGAAUAAAAGCUUGGCUGUAUUAGAGGAGACUGUCAGGACCUAAAUUAUCCAGUGACUUUCUGAAAAGAUAUAUACUCACACAAUACACAUUGAAUAUUAAAUCUGUGACAUUACUGGUACUGCAGCUUACAAGCAACAUUUCAAUCUCUUUCAUGUAGUGUUCUGUUUAAGCACUGGAAGUAGGCAUUAAUGAUCUAAUAAAAGGCUUAAGUCCUGUCCU